CAAAAAUUCAAAUGAAAUUCUAUGGCUUUUGACUUUUUAUGUUGUUUUGGCAUUGGGCGCCCACUUUGAGAGUAAGUUGGGGACUCAGAACAAGGAGAAAUGCCGUUAACUAUACAGCUCUCCAUAAACACACAGAUUGGUUUACUCCUUUUCAUUUUGCGCCAAUGUUGCAAGUUCCGAGUUCUAUUCCCAACUGAACUUGCUGCGCCAUCUGGUUCCUAGGUCUGUCAUUUCAUUCAGCCGUUUUGUAACCGCAUUGCACUGCAAUUUCGGGGACAAACCAUUCCUGCGUAGUAAAUCUCCUUUCUGAAAUCCUUCAGAACUCUUCGCCUGAGCAUAACGGACUUCUUCGUUUCGGCUUUCCAAUUCGGACCGUCUUUCCUAAUAAUUAGCUCCUCGACGAGAAGACUUUAUCAUAUAACGAUUCUAAUUUUUUCUAAAAAAAACGAUUAAAAAUGAAGCGAUUUCAUCUUGACAAUAAUAAGACAAACAGUAAUUAGCUGUUGUAUUCGCGUCGUCGCUUUAUUUUCCUCAAAAUAAACUUUUGAUAAAUUUAUGAUUUUACAUUUUCAAUAUAUUUUAGUUUCUGUUGAAUCAGCAGCGCUCGUUAAAUCAUGUCAAAUCUUGAUUGUAUAGCAAUAAUACGGCGCGCACAUUUCAAUUGUUUAUGUUUACAUUUAUUGGUGACUGUUAUCUGCAUGACUGUAUUUUGUGAGGCAAAACAUGAAUCGUGUCGAUAUUGAAAUAUAACGGGCCGAAGAAAAUUUAGAAGUACAGUAGCGAAUGGGAAGAAAAUUAUUUUGUGUCCGAAUCCAAAGGGAAAUUAUUUUUUUGUGUCUAAUAUGCUGUCAUGAAUAAUAUAACAUGCAAUAAGAAAUACAAUGUCGAAUCUCAUUUUAAAAAUCAACACCGUGAAAUGAACGAUAAGUUUUUGCCGUUGUCUGAAAAAGGAUCUGCCGAAAUAUUACGAUUGAAAAUUGCAUUGGAAUCUGAACAAAAAGUGAUGGAAAACAUAUUCAGUGCAAAUCAUCAAAAACUCACAUUGCAAAACACGAGAACUCAUACGUCGAUGGGGAAUUUUACAAACAGUUGAUGCAAACAACCAUUGCAACGCUAUGUGAGAAGUGGGACGACAAAUUGAAAACGCCAUUGCUUGAUAAAUUAGAAACAUUAGCGCUCACUCAUACGUCGCAAUCAGUCGCCGUGUCGUUGAUAUUGGAGCUGAAAUCGAAGCGGAAUUGAAAAGUGAAUUGGAAAAAUGUGGAGUAUUUCUUGGCUUUGGAUGAAACGACAGACAUUUCGGAUAUGUCCCAACUAUUUUGGGUGUGAUACAUCAAAAACAAAAAAGGACCAAAGAUAUUUUUGAUGCAUUUAUGACUGACGAUGCUCGAUUUGAUUUGGACUUGAAGGAGCUCGUAUCGAUAUGUACCGAUGGAGCUCCUGCAAUGACCGGUUUUGCUGCCUUAGUGAAAAAAUCAUCAAUACAAUCAGAGCGAGUGAACUACGUCAUCGUCGAUUCAAGAUGUUGACCGAAAAAUUAAUUUGGUGACAUAAUGUUCUUUAAUUUGGGGCUACAAGGAAAGAAUAAAUUCGGUUGGGACUUCGCAAAAGAUAUUCCAGAAUUCAAGUUGAAAUUGGUCGCAUUUAAAAACCAAAUUAAUGAAAAUGAUUUUACUUUCUUCCCAGUGUUAGACACAAAUCAAUAUAAUGAAGAUUUUGAGCUAUAUUUUGAUUUGAAGAUUUCCAAAUGUCAGUUGGCUUUCAAAGACGUUGUACCAAAGUUUUUAAGCAUGUUUGGUUCCACAUACGUUUGUAAAGCAUCAUUCUCAAGUCUUGCGCGCCGUAAAAAUCAUCCUUUCACAUUCUUUAUUCGUAGUUGCAUUCGACACAAUGGUUGUCCAAGUUUGUAAUGUAGAAUAAAUAACUGCGCCAAAAAGUGUCGAAGCAAAAUAUACGAAAUCUAUAUUCCA